rnacentral:rRNA from 1 species
UGGGGAAUCUUGCACAAUGGGGGCAACCCUGAUGCAGCGACGCCGCGUGAGCGAUGAAGGUUUUCGAAUCGUAAAGCCCUGUCCUAUGGGAAGAUAAUGACGGUACCAUAGGAGGAAGCCCCGGCUAACUACGUGCCAGCAGCCGCGGUAAUACGUAGGGGGCGAGCGUUGUCCGGAAUUACUGGGCGUAAAGGGUUCGCAGGCGGCAUGGCAAGUCCGAUGUAAAAGGCGAAGGCUCAACCUUCGUAAGCAUCGGAAACUGUCAAGCUUGAGUGAAGGAGAGGCAAGUGGAAUUCCUAGUGUAGCGGUGGAAUGCGUAGAUAUUAGGAGGAAUACCGGUGGCGAAGGAGACUUGCUGGACUUCAACUGACGCUGAGGAACGAAAGCGUGGGUAGCAAACAGG